UACAGAGGGCUCAAGCGUUGUUCGGAUUCAUUGGGCGUAAAGGGUGCGUAGGCGGUCGCGCAAGUCGGAUGUGAAAUCUUAGGGCUCAACCCUGAAACUGCAUUCGAUACUGCGUGGCUCGAGUACUGGAGAGGAGACUGGAAUUUACGGUGUAGCAGUGAAAUGCGUAGAUAUCGUAAGGAAGACCAGUGGCGAAGGCGAGUCUCUGGACAGUUACUGACGCUGAGGCACGAAGGCCAGGGGAGCAAACGGG
rnacentral:rRNA from 1 species